GCUGGCGGCGUGCCUAAUACAUGCAAGUCGAGCGAACGGACGAGAAGCUUGCUUUUCUGAUGUUAGCGGCGGACGGGUGAGUAACACGUGGAUAACCUACCUAUAAGACUGGGAUAACUUCGGGAAACCGGAGCUAAUACCGGAUAAUAUUUUGAACCGCAUGGUUCAAAAGUGAAAGACGGUCUUGCUGUCACUUAUAGAUGGAUCCGCGCUGCAUUAGCUAGUUGGUAAGGUAACGGCUUACCAAGGCAACGAUGCAUAGCCGACCUGAGAGGGUGAUCGGCCACACUGGAACUGAGACACGGUCCAGACUCCUACGGGAGGCAGCAGUAGGGAAUCUUCCGCAAUGGGCGAAAGCCUGACGGAGCAACGCCGCGUGAGUGAUGAAGGUCUUCGGAUCGUAAAACUCUGUUAUUAGGGAAGAACAUAUGUGUAAGUAACUGUGCACAUCUUGACGGUACCUAAUCAGAAAGCCACGGCUAACUACGUG
rnacentral:rRNA from 1 species